CGAACGCUGGCGGCGUGCCUAAUACAUGCAAGUAGAACGCUGAAGAGAGGAGCUUGCUCUUCUUGGAUGAGUUGCGAACGGGUGAGUAACGCGUAGGUAACCUGCCUGGUAGCGGGGGAUAACUAUUGGAAACGAUAGCUAAUACCGCAUGAUAUUAAUUGUCGCAUGAUAAUUAAUUGAAAGAUGCAAUUGCAUCACUACCAGAUGGACCUGCGUUGUAUUAGCUAGUUGGUGAGGUAACGGCUCACCAAGGCGACGAUACAUAGCCGACCUGAGAGGGUGAUCGGCCACACUGGGACUGAGACACGGCCCAGACUCCUACGGGAGGCAGCAGUAGGGAAUCUUCGGCAAUGGGGGGAACCCUGACCGAGCAACGCCGCGUGAGUGAAGAAGGUUUUCGGAUCGUAAAGCUCUGUUGUAAGAGAAGAACGGGUGUGAGAGUGGAAAGUUCACACUGAGA
rnacentral:rRNA from 1 species